rnacentral:rRNA from 1 species
CCUACGGGAGGCAGCAGUGAGGAAUAUUGGUCAAUGGACGAGAGUCUGAACCAGCCAAGUAGCGUGAAGGAUGACUGCCCUAUGGGUUGUAAACUUCUUUUAUAAAGGAAUAAAACGAGGCACGUGUGCCUUUUUGCAUGUACUUUAUGAAUAAGGAUCGGCUAACUCCGUGCCAGCAGCCGCGGUAAUACGGAGGAUCCGAGCGUUAUCCGGAUUUAUUGGGUUUAAAGGGAGCGUAGAUGGGUUGUUAAGUCAGUUGUGAAAGUUUGCGGCUCAACCGUAAAAUUGCAAGUGAUACUGGCAGUCUUGAGUACAGUUGAGGUAGGCGGAAUUCGUGGUGUAGCGGUGAAAUGCUUAGAUAUCACGAAGAACCCCGAUUGCGAAGGCAGCUUACGAAACUGUGACUGACAUUGAUGCUCGAAAGUGUGGGUAUCAAACAGGAGUAGAUACCCUUGUAGUC